ACGCUCGACACCUACGGGAGGCAGCAGUGGGGAAUAUUGCACAAUGGGGGAAACCCUGAUGCAGCGACGCCGCGUGGAGGAAGAAGGUCUUCGGAUUGUAAACUCCUGUUGUUGGGGAAAAAGAGGAUGGUACCCAACAAGGAAGUGACGGCUAACUACGUGCUAGCAGCCGCGGUAAUCUGAGCGGGCUGGCAAGGC
rnacentral:rRNA from 1 species